UUAAAGUCGUUGACAAACCAUGAUUUUUUUUAGGUGGGGGUAGCGGACAAAUUGCAACUUAAAUGCAACAUGCUAAUUCCAAAGAAGAAAGCCAAUUAUACAACUAAAACAGACAUAGCCUUUGCUUUGUGAUUGGACCAGGAACUGCGACGCAAAUCUGUUCCAUGCACUUCAACUAGCUUGUUCCCAGAUCUGCCGGCCCCUAAAUAAAUCCAGCGUGGGUCCUGCACGAUUGCAAUGAUGAAGUCAUGAGCACAAGGCUAAAAGGAAACAGGAGAUGAUCCCACGUAAACUGACUUUGGUGCAGAGCAAAAGACAGACAACAAUUCACACUGCCACUGAGUGGGGUCCGUGUCCACGCCCCCAGCUUGGAGGUCAGGAAAUGACAACUUUCCUUCUGUACGCUCUUCAAGAGGCUCUUCCAAGAAAGGGAGUGUGAAGGUGAACAAUAAACAAUAC